rnacentral:rRNA from 1 species
CAUGAAGCUGGAAUCGCUAGUAAUCGCAAAUCAGAAUGUUGCGGUGAAUACGUUCCCGGGUCUUGUACACACCGCCCGUCACACCAUGGGAGUUGGAAAUGCCCGAAGUCAGUGACCCAACCGAAAGGAGGGAGCUGCCGAAGGCAGGUCCGGUAACUGGGGUGAAGUCGUAACAAGGUACC